rnacentral:lncRNA from 1 species
UUGGGGAUGGUUCUGCCUCGCGGGGCUUCGAUUGUUUCGGGAAGGAGUCGACCGAUGCUUUAGUUUGCAGUCUCUGCGUGCGCGCACCUGGUUCGCUGCAGUGUGUCCAACCUUGCAUGCACAUCAGUGGAUGGAUGGAUGGAUGGACUGAUUGAUUUGAGCCCAUCGGCGGGCUACAAGCGGCGCAAAUUAACACGGGUUGUCAACAUGAUUAGGGAAGAAACGUUUGUUGUCACGACAUGAUUCCACGGAACUUCCACCGGAUCGUCGCGUGAAUAAGAAACUGAUGGCAACAUGGAAACAAUCCGCCUCAGGAGCCUGCGCUUGGAGUUCGGAACAGAUUUUUUUCCCCUUUUUAUUUUUUACGAACACUUUUCAUACUUUAUGCCAUCGCCAAGUUACAUUUUUCGUACUACUGCUUAUCACAUGGGAGUCAAACAUAAGUUCCAGCUAGCUUACGUGCCGUUCCUAGGAAACAUGAAACUGAGCCACUGAAACUGGAGUCCUGCUCUGUUCUCCAGCAACUACCCAUUUUCAGCAGUCGGCCUGCCAGUCAGUCACUCUACAUAUAUAACACUCUCUGCAGUGAACUGCCGAGGAGAGUAGGUAAGCUAGCUGAUCAGCAUGCAUGCAUGCAUGUCACGUAACUUUACUUAGGUGAGGUUGGAGUAGGCCUGAAACUGCAGUGCCAAAGCUGCUGAAAUAAAUGUGGCAAGAAAGCUGUGAAAAUAAAUUACUAGCAAACAGUAUUGUCCACCAAG